GUCGCACCCAGCAAACCCCCACAAGAUGGCAGCGCCAGCCGCGCCCCUCCCUCCGCGCGCAGAGCCUGCAGAGGCCCUGGCCACCUACAGGGAGUGUAGGUCUGCCAAGUCUUAAUUACAGCCUGUUGUAGAUCCAGUGUUCAGGAAAAUGCCAUAGAAAGGAAGGUGAUGAAUUUGCUAGGCUACAGAUGAAGGUGUUCAGCAAUAGAGAAAAGGAUGGUGAAAAGGAUACAGAGUCCAGCACGUCACAAUUCAAUGCAACAGAGAGACAGGGUCAAUUAUUAAACCAGCUGCUUUCUGCAGCCUGCAGCGUUUUCAGCAUUU